rnacentral:misc_RNA from 1 species
AUAUGGCCCGCGGGCCGUAGGUUGGGCAUCCCUUGUUUAGACGAUUUCUUAUGGUUUUCUUUCUGAUGUAACUAGUAUUCUACUCAGUGUCGUUGUGCUCUCGAAAAUUGAUUAUUGCAAUUUUCUAUUGGCUGGCAUUACCAAGUAUCUGCAGACCAUCUAGUCCUAAUUGUAUCUGCUGCAGCUGACCCAGGUCAGCCGAUCUUGAGAAACUGUUCAGAAAAUGUGACAAAAGGAGAGAACGUAACGUGCGAGUGUUCAUCAGAGCAUAACAGCGAGCCUCGCCCUGUCUUGUCAUGGCCUGGACACACAGACUGUUCCACUUUACAGCUGUCUGCCGUCGGAAUCAACAGGACAUACAUGUGCGAGAUGUUGUGGGGAAAACAAAAAAGAACGGUGUCUUACAGCUUUCAAAUAAUGAAAAUGUCUGCGGCAGCUGAUCCAGGUCAGCCGAUCCUUAAAAACUGUUUAAAACACGCGACAGAAGGAGAGAACGUGACGUGCGAGUGUUCAUCAGAGCGUGACGGCGAGCCCCGCCCAGUCCUCUCCUGGUUAGGACAGACAAACUCGUCCAUUUUACACUUAUACGAUGUCAGAAUCACUGAGACAUACAUGUGUGAGAUGACCUGGGGCGAGCAAAAAAGAAUGGUCUCCUACAUCUUACAAAUAAUAACCAACAAGGAUGGCUCGUAUAAACACACAGCUCCAUCGUCUUUGGUCCAGAUUAUCGGCAUGGAUAUGUACAGACUCCAUUAAACCCUAAGGUUAAUGAGUUGGAACUCGUUGAAAACAUUUAUUACGGUGGCCUCAAGUCAGACAACAUGAGAGAAUCAGGCCUAAUAGACAAUGACCGCGUGGAUUCCAGGAACAGUGAGCAAACAAUACAAUCGGAUGUGGAGAAGGACGAAGGCAGAGAAGCACAGGCAGACCUGUAUGCCGUUGUCGAGAAGAACAAAGAGAAAGAAGAGGUGAAGGCAGAGCUGUAUGCAGCUGUGAUGAAGUCAAGCGUGAAGCAACAAGAACCAUCUCCUGGGAGAAGGAUAAAUAUCGUUAGUGAGGUAGACGUGUACGCCGUCGUCGAGAAGGGAGCUGAGCAAGAAACGUACGCCCAGGUGGUAAAAUUGUCUGAACAGUAAACAACAUUACUAAAUCUCUCAAAUAAUCAUUAUGUAAUCAAUGUAUGCAUCUAUACAUGUAAUAUAUUGUCGACUUAAUCACCAAAACAGUCUUCAGAAUAAUCCAAACUGCUAAUACAAUCACCCAAAGACUAAAAAUAAUCAUCAAAGCAGUGGCUCCAAUUACUCAAAAAGUAAAGGUGCACCUUGAAGCUAAAACCUUUAUAAGAUGUGCGCACAUCAGUCAAUGAGUUGUACAAAAAUGUGAAAUUAAAUGUUAUGAUGCUUGUAUGUAUGUUAUGAGCUUAUAUAUUGUAUCCAAGAUUUGUAGGAUUUAUUCCACCACGUUUACCACAUGUCACAUUAUUUACUGUGUUGUCGUUAACACUUUUUCGUAAUAGUGUGAGGUCUUGUAAAUAAGUUAUACUACUCUGUUUGCCAGAAGAUGUAAAGAGGAUUUUAUACAGAUUUAUAAAAGUGUCACUUUCUGUACAAAGUUUCUGGAGAUA